rnacentral:tRNA from 1 species
UAGAAUGAAGCUUAUACAAGCAUUCGAUUGUUAAUUGAAAAGAAGUAAAUUAUUUACCAUUUUAA